rnacentral:lncRNA from 1 species
GGGGAAUAAUUAGUUACUAUAAAGUCUUCACAAAUUAGUCAUUAAUUUAAAAAUUCUAACCCAUCUACAGGUCAGCAGUAAAACACGAUACCAUUUCUGCCUCUAAAGCUAAAAUUCUGUUAUAAAGUAUUGCCUGAAUUAUAAUAAUUAUAACUAUUAAAAAUCAUAUGCUAAGGACUGAAUAUUUGUGUCCCCACAAAAUUCCUGUGUUGAAAUAAUAACUCCCAUUGUGAUGUAUUAGGAAAUGGGGACUUUGAUAGGUAAUUAGGUCAUAGGGACAGAGCCCUCAAGAAUUAGUUUAGUGUCCUUAUGAAAAGAAACAUGAGUGAGAUGAUAACUUUCUAGACAAAAUGGGAAUACAAGGUGAAGAUAGCCAUCUGCAAACUCUGAUGUGGGCCCUCACCAGACACAGAAUAUUCCUGGCCUUCAUUUUGGACUUUGCAGCCUCUAGAAUUGUGCUGUAGACACGGCUGACAACGUGUGUACUCAAAGACACAGACUGCUCUUUUGAGUGUCUCUGCUAUGCUAAUAUUUUACAACAAGGUGAAACCUAAGAGGAGAAUCCUUCCAUAAAUGGCAUGGUGAUAUUUAGGAUUUGGAAUACCAUGGCAUGUGCCCAAACUGGCAAGAAAGGAAGAAAAAAAGAUGGGAGUUAAAGGAGAAAGCCAAGACCGAUUGAAUUCAGAUCAUUAUUAAAAUGUUUCAAUACAAGAAAGGAAACGGUCCAACCAAUGGCAAAGAAAGCAGUACAUGGCAAGAAACACGAACCUGAACAUGAGGAACAUGUGUGACAAACGCUCUUGGGGAUACUAGUCCAACAUUUUAAAACAUUUUAAUAUUUUAAAAUUAAAAUCAGAAAACUUAUUUUUUCUAUUUCUUUAAACAUUUAUUAGACUAGAUUGAUUUAUUUUCCAAACAAAAAUAAUU